ACUUGUAAUUUGAUCGGUUAGUAUUCCCUCUUUUUUUUUUUUUUUGGGUUGGGGGGUGGGUUGAUUAUGGUUUUGCAUGAGUUGAUCCUAUACAUGGGCUAAUUUCAGUCUAUAUUGUUUUUGGUACAUGGUUGAUAAUUAUAGGGUUUUUUACUUGUAUUUUUUUUUUUUUUUUUUUUUUGUCCAAUAUAUUAUAUUUUAAACAGACGGAAGAAUAAACUAAUAUAUUGGGUGUCAAUUUUGGUGUUGUUUGGAAAUGAAAUGGCAGAGAUAAAAGAGUGGAAUGCUAUGAAUUGCUUGGCUGUUCACUUACCAUGCUCUAUGAAGUUCGUCUGUGCUUGUGGUGGAAUGGAAAGAGUAGCCCUAGGGCUACCAUGCCUGGGGACGGUUGUGUUGAGCGCCUUUUGUUUGGUGGGGCGAUAUCUAGUGCAUGUCCUCUUUGAUUCCAGGUGUUCAAGGAUGAUCUUUUCCUGCAAAGUGAUGCAAGUGGAGAGGGAUUUGAGGGUGAAAUUGGUUGAGCGACCGCAAUCGGAGUUCGAUUCAGAGAGGGGAUUGGAUUUAAGCUUAGGGUUUGAGAUUGAUACGGAGCAGAGGAAGAAGAAUACGAAAAAGAAGGAGAUGGUCCGCAAUGAAAUUGAGCAUGAUCAGUUCGAUUAAGAAGCAAAAUGACCUUCUUGAACUUGAAGCCAAUGAAAUCUGUGAUUUCUCUGCAAUCUAACUGGUUUUGCUGUUGGUUUUGAUGGGAGAGUAGAUAGAUCAGAGUCAAAAGGAUUUUGUUCCGUGUUCCGUGUUCCGUGUUCCGUGUUUUAUUUUGGAAGGAAGAAGAUGGGUGAAGAAGAGAGGGCUUAGUUCUUGUAGCUCCAGUUGGCAUUCUUUUUCUUUUCUUCAGCACUAUUUGAACAAAAGUCUUAGAUCCUGAUCAUUACCUUCCAUCUAGCUGUAGCCAGGUAAGAUCUCUUGUUUUGAAUACUUUGAACCAGCUUGGUGUUGUCUCUUUUAAACUUUCUAUCAAGUUUUUAAAGAUAUUCAAUGGUAGAAUUGACUUACCAGAUCUAUUGAAAGAGCAAGUGUUGAAAUAAGCUCAGGUAAUGGGGGAGCUACCAAUAGUGGCAAGGAGGGAAGAUCAAAGAAAGUGGAUAAAUUCUUCAAAUGGAAUGUUUUCAAUUGGAUCAAGUUAUGAUAUGCAGGGUAGAAAAGUUCAAAUCUAAGUAAGACUUGGAGCAUAAAAGUUCCACUGAGUGUGGGUGUCUUCAUGUGGAUCUACUUAAAGACAAAGUGCCAAUUCAAAAGGACUUCAAGAUGUUGGAUGUGCAUAUGGCCAGCACUUCUGCUCUCUGUGAAUGUCAUACAUUUGUUUUUAUCUUGCAGUUACUGGGAUGAACUGGAGAAUAUGAACAUGUAUAAUGUGUUUGAUUAUAGAAUG